GGAAGUUCCUAAUGACCGGAUUUGGUGUGUGGCAGUAAAAGGGUAAGAAUGUUUUGUCCAUAUUGUGGCCAUAACGUGGGAGAAGUUGUCAAGUUCUGCGGUUCAUGUGGCAAACAUAUUGAGUUUUUGGCGUUUGUCGACAACAGAUCAAUUCAAGAAAACAUUUCCAUCGAAGACCUCAUUCAGAAAUAUUUCAGAGACGGUUACUCCUAUAAUGAAACUUUGGACAUUUUGGCCUCAAAACAUAAACAGAAGAUCAG